rfam:Alligator mississippiensis ScZkoYb_613.2, whole genome shotgun sequence.
GCCAGGUAUGGGGACAUGGUGCCAUCCACCAUUGCAGGGAAGAUCUUCGGCUCCAUCUGCUCACUCUCAGGGGUGCUGGUAAUUGCGCUGCCUGUCCCCGUCAUCGUCUCCAAC